AUUGAACGCUGGCGGCAUGCCUUACACAUGCAAGUCGAACGGAUUGAAGGGGCUUGCUCCUUCAGUUAGUGGCGAACGGGUGAGUAAAGCAUCGGAACGUACCCAGUCGUGGGGGAUAACGUAGCGAAAGUUACGCUAAUACCGCAUACGAUCUGAGGAUGAAAGCGGGGGAUCGCAAGACCUCGCGCGAUUGGAGCGGCCGAUGUCGGAUUAGCUAGUUGGUGAGGUAAAGGCUCACCAAGGCGACGAUCCGUAGCUGGUCUGAGAGGAUGAUCAGCCACACUGGAACUGAGACACGGUCCAGACUCCUACGGGAGGCAGCAGUGGGGAAUUUUGGACAAUGGGGGAAACCCUGAUCCAGCCAUGCCGCGUGAGUGAAGAAGGCCUUCGGGUUGUAAAGCUCUUUCAGUCGGAAAGAAAAGGCUCCGGAUAAUACCUGGAGUUGAUGACGGUACCGACAGAAGAAGCACCGGCUAACUACGUGCCAGCCGCCGCCGUAA
rnacentral:rRNA from 1 species